AUGGCGGACCCAUCGAGAGUGAAGAGUGGAGCUUUAUAAAACCAUUCAACAAUUGUCGUUUAAAAGACAACCAAAUAAAUAUUUUGAAAAACAACUACUGGAAGAUAUCUCCUGAUUCAGAUUUAUGAGCAAGAUAAUCAUGCUUCCAUCGUCAAAGUAGCUCUUCUGAGUGUGUUUCAUCAUCGACAUCAAUGCCAUGUGGGUCAACAUCACUGAAUGAAACUGCUUCAAUACGAAAGCUUACAAGUGAAGAUAUAGAUAGGAGAGUAUAACAUCCCAACCUAUACAUUGUAGUUAAAAUAUAAUAACAAUAUCAACCUCAAAUUCAACUAAUAUUUUGUAUGCAAUCAAGCAAAAUUUGGAAAUGCUGGUUGUUAAUUUUACUGCAAUUAUUACACAAGAUAUGAUUACACUCCUUUAUCAUUACCCCAUCCCGUCAGAAUUGCUAUUACAUGUGAAUGCAAUAUAAUUUUUGUACACAAUCAUUAUUCAAUUAUGGUUUUCAGCAUAAAUUAUGCCUUAUGUCCCUUCUCCAGACAAUAUUUAUUGCAAGCUAUAUGAUAUUUGCUCCAAUAUUUGGCUAUAUUUGUGAAAGAUACAGUUGCAAGCUCAUUAUGAUCUAUUGCCUCGUUAUCUGGUCCUUAACAACAUUUCUUAGCACACUACUUAAUAAACACCUAUGUAAGCUUUUACUGAUUUCAUACGGUGAGUUAGAAGUCAGAUAUGUUAAAAACAGAAGGAAAAUGGUAGGUUUAUGAAUAGUUUGGUAUGUUCUUGGUUCAAAAGUAUCUUCCGCAUUUAGUGGUGGCAAUAAUUUUAUAAUAAAGAAAACACAGGGUAUGUAAACAUGUGAAAUAAACAUGUUAUUACUUGAUGUGUUUCAGGUAACUCCAAUCUUGGGUGUGCUUCUUAUCAUCUUGGGCUUUAUAUCUGUUGUUUGAACCUGUCUAGGGGCAAAUUGAAAAGAGUCAGGGUGAUAUUGUUGCAGACAAGGAUGUUAUCAUUCGUCGUUCAUGGUUGAAUGAUGCGAAACAUAUGUUACGCUGAUACAGACAGAGCCACAGCAUCGGCAGUCCUUAUAUUGUGGGUUUGGUAACCGCAGCUUCAAAGUUUCUGACUUUACAGGAGUCAGUAAGAGAUGCAGCAGAUCUCUAUUUAUCAUUUUAGCAUAUUCCUCUUGUUUUUCUUUGCGACACGGCUUGUGGGUUUGUCAGGCACUUAGAGUGUCGGGUCAGUAAAGAAAUGACCGAAUAGCUAUGGAAAGAUAACAGAGGGUGUUUUGAGGUACCAUCGUUGGAUAAACCACCAUCAAAGGAAAUGAGUGUCCCUAUGCUGACAACAGCAGAAUACAGAAAAAGUGACAAUGAUAUGAUACAGGUGGAGGAUGGUAGCAUGAUUCAUCCAUUGACAGGCACAUCCAGGAGAUAUUUUUUAGGUGACAGAUUUCACACAGCAAGCAAUCCUCACAAGUCACCCCUUUGUGAAUAUCACAACAUAAAUCUUUUGUCUCAGUCGAACACGAUAAAAACAAGCUAUCAAGAGUCCGAAAACAACUGAAAGAAUGUGCGAUGGUUACGAAGCUCGACGAUGCAAAAUUUUUCCCCCACUAUUUUUAUAACUUUUUGAUGGAUUUCUAUCAAAAUGAGGAAAUAGUAAAAAAGCAACACGACGUAGCUUCGAGACAGCUAAAACCUGGGCAGAUGUUAUGCAGGAAUUCAUAUAUGCAAUUUGUGAUAAAAGAUGGUGAAAAAUAAGCAUUAGGGUUAUUACUCAUCGCGCGCUUGUUGUUUACGUUGGGUAGGUGGAGCUCGUCAGUCUUGGAAGACAGUCCACCUAGGAGAAGGAAAACUCUGAUUUAAAACCCCCGGACUCGUGCAAUAAAUGGGUCAGGCUGUCCAUGUCGGAUUCAUUGAUGCUGCUAAUAAUUAUUGCAAUACUUAAUGUUUCCUAGGCAUGCUGACGAGCCCUGAGAUAGGGCAAAACAGCCAUUAUACACGAAUUGUUAUACAUAGUAUUAUUUAUUGGAUCUAGUUUUCAUAACUUUUCAUAUCUUUAGCAAGCAACUGGACGGUUUAUUCGUU
rnacentral:lncRNA from 1 species